GCCUGGGUGGCUCAGUCGGUUAAGCAUCCGACUUCAGCUCAGGUCACGAUCUCGCGGUCCGUGGGUUCGAGCCCCGCGUCGGGCU
rfam:Felis catus isolate Cinnamon breed Abyssinian chromosome E3, whole genome shotgun sequence.